rnacentral:rRNA from 1 species
GAAAAGAAACUAACAAGGAUUCCCCUAGUAACGGCGAGUGAAGCGGGAAGAGCUCAAAUUUGAAAUCUGGUAGCCUUCGGUUGCCCGAGUUGUAAUCUAGAGAAGUGUUUUCCGUGCCGGCCCAUGUACAAGUCCCUUGGAACAGGGCGUCAUAGAGGGUGAGAAUCCCGUCCUUGACAUGGACCCCCGGUGCUUUGUGAUACACUUUCAACGAGUCGAGUUGUUUGGGAAUGCAGCUCAAAAUGGGUGGUGAAUUCCAUCUAAAGCUAAAUAUUGGCGAGAGACCGAUAGCGAACAAGUACCGUGAGGGAAAGAUGAAAAGCACUUUGGAAAGAGAGUUAAACAGUACGUGAAAUUGUUGAAAGGGAAACGAUUGAAGUCAGUCAUGCUCUUAGGAUUCAGCCGUUCUGCGGUGUAUUUCCUUUGAGUGGGGUCAACAUCAGUUUUGAUCGAUGGACAAAGGCACGAGGAAGGUAGCACUCUCGGGUGAACUUAUAGCCUCGCGUCAUAUACAUUGAUUGGGACUGAGGAACGCAGCAUGCCUUUAUGGCCGGGAUUCGUCCACGUACAUGCUUAG